rnacentral:rRNA from 13 species
GUGAUCCCGGGCGGCGAACGGCGCGUUCAAAGCGGGCCAUUUUUGGUAAGCAGAACUGGCG